CCCUUAGAUGUCCUGGGCUGCACGCGCGCUACACUGGAAGUUACGGAUUGAGAUACUACCUUGUCCGAAAUGGUCCGGGUAAUCACCUAAAAGCUUGUCAUAAUUGGAAUGGAUUAUUGUAACUAGUAAUCCUGAACGAGGAAUUCCUAGUAAGUCCCAGUCAACAGCUGGUACUGAUUACGUCCCUGCCCUUUGUACACACCGCCCGUCGCUACUACUGAUUGGACGUUUAAGCAAGAUUUUUAAACACUGACAGUGUGUAGUUCACGCUAUACUACAGUGAGAAGAAGAAGCUCGAGCUUACUUGUCUAGAGGAAGUAAAAGUCGUAACA
rnacentral:rRNA from 1 species